rnacentral:lncRNA from 1 species
GGGGCAGGCAUUCUUUAUGUUUAAAGGCACCAUACCAGCAGUCAGUUCCCUGCAGAAGCAUCCAGAAGUCACAGGUCCUUUUUCUGCCUUGGCCUUUGAGGACCAUCCUGACAUUUUUGCCAUCUUUUGCCAACUGGCUGUGGCUGCUUGAACAGAUGCCAGGGGAAGGAAUCUGGGUCCACUUGAGGAAGCUGUAACUGAUGACAGAUAUCUGCCACAGUGGAGGGGACAGCAGUAGAAUACAUUACCUAAGUCUAAGCAGUAAUACAGUACCUAAGUCUGCAUAUUUCAUCCGGCAUCAGAUCAUCAUGGGUGCCUCUUGCCACUGUUGCAUGUGAGGCAGGAGCCAUCCCAGGUCUUAAGGGCCUGAGGAACUCUGAGAAGAGCAGUCCAUUAACCAAGGUGGCCCAAGAGCCAGGAUUAGGUCAAGGAGGCGUGGCCCUUGCUGGGAUAUGUGCCCAGUAUGAGGGCCUGAGGAAGCAGCUGGUUGGAGACUCCACAGCAGAACUGACAGCCAGGAGAAUGGAGAGCUGGGGAGAGUGAGGCUCAUUCACUCAAAAAGCAUUGUGCAUUUACUUGGGAGCCAGACGCUAAGCUGGAGAAAAGGAUACAAGGGUGAGUAAGGCAGUUUGUGUCCUCAAGGAGAUCCCAGCCCAGAUAAAUAUAUGUAGCUGUGUUUCAGAGGCUUGGUUCCAGACCACUGCAAUACAGUGAGUCGCACACA